CGGAGGAUCCAAGCGUUAUCCGGAUUUAUUGGGUUUAAAGGGUGCGUAGGCGGAAUAGUAAGUCAGUGGUGAAAGCCUGCAGCCUAACUGUAGAAUUGCCAUUGAUACUGCUAAUCUUGAGUACAUAUGAAGUGGGCGGAAUGUGUCAUGUAGCGGUGAAAUGCUUAGAUAUGACACAGAACACCGAUUGCGAAGGCAGCUCACUAAACUGUAACUGACGCUGAGGCACGAAAGCAUGGGGAGCAAACAGGAUUAGAUACCCUGGUAGUCCAUGCCGUAAACUAUGAUUACUCGAUGUGUGCGAUACACUGUACGCGUCUAAGCGAAAGCGUUAAGUAAUCCACCUGGGAAGUACGACCGCAAAGGUUG
rnacentral:rRNA from 1 species